UAUUGGUCAAUGGCCUAACGGCUGAACCAGCAACUUGGAGGAAUGUAUAGCGAAAGCUAGUUGCAAUAACAUAUUGCGAUAUCAACAACGUUGAAUAAAAUUCUGGGUAAAAUAUUGAUGAUGACAAUUUUUAUCUAUAUGUCUUGACCAAUUUACGUGCCAGCAGUCGCGGUAACACGUUGAAGACUAGUGUUAUUCAUCUUUAAUAGGUUUAAAGGGUACCUAGACGGCAGAUAAAGCCUUAACUGGGACUAAUAUGCUAGAGUUACUUGUGAGGGGGCCUAAAAGUACUAUUGGUUUAGAGAUAAAAUUCUUCGAGACCUCUUAUCUUAAUAGAUGAAAAAUGGAACAGGUAAAGGCGAAAGCGUCUCCCUAUGUGAUAACUGACGUUGAGGGACGAAGGCUUUGAAUAGCGAAGAGGAUUAGAUACCCUUGUAGUCGAAGCAGAGAAUGAUGAGUGUCAUAAACUAGAUACAAGUUUAGUUUAUAAAUGAAAGUGUAAGCACUCCACCUUAUGAGUAAAGUGGCAACGCCGGAAUUGAAAUCAUUAGACCGUUUCUGAAACCAGUAGUGAAGUAUGUUGUUUAAUUUGAUAAUCCACAAAAAACCUUACCACAACUUGAAUAGCUAUAUACUGUUUAACAUCCUUAGACAAUAUAUUUUUACAAGCGUUGCACGGCUGUCUUCAGUUAAUGUCGUGAGAUUUGGUUAGAUCCAUUAAAUUAACGCAAACCCUUGCUUUAUUUUUAUAUAAUGCAUCUCGUCCAUCAUAACGGAUUUGAUAAAAGGGACUAAGACAAGUCAUCAUGGCCCGAAUGUUGUGGGCUAUA
rnacentral:rRNA from 1 species